UUGAUACUUAUGCGGCCCCUUGUCCCUGUCAUAUAGUUUAGAUGAGAAAUGAAUGAGGCAAAAUAUGAUAGGCAUUGGAAUAUAAUACACAGUACCUCCCCACCUUGUAUGCAAUGAAGUGUAACUAUCCCUUUAUGCUGAAUGUGAUUCGAUGGAUAAUGAGACAUAUAGCAAUUAGGAUUAACACAAAAGUUUUUUGAAGAUACCAACUGCUAAUUAAACCGCUGUAACUUAUCACAACAAAACAGUCUUAACUAUUGCGGUCAUACCAUAUCUGUUUCAUAAGUAUAGAGUUAUGAAUACAAUUAGUUAUUUUUCACACCAUCAAUUCUGUAGACUACAAUAAAUUAGCAUCGAUUGUAUGCUUGAAAUUGUUUGUUUAUUAAAAUAUCAUGAUUGUUACUUCAUUGUUAUCCUAAUAAAUAUAACUUCAUCGGAAAAAUCUACAUUAUUAAAACAACAGUAACAUUUUUCUGUUACUGUAUUGCCUAAUUAACAAAUUUGAAUAUUUUAGCACAUUAGUAAUAUCAUAUUUUGAAAUGUAAUUCGAUGGUUUCUUUGAUUUAUAUUUAAACAGCCCCUCGCAGGGCCAACUAUUUCGCGACAAUCAUUUCCACUGAAAUCGCGAUUGAGGUGUCACAAUCAGUAGAAGAGAUCAAUAUGUAUAAAAAAUUGGCUGAAAUCAAAUGCUCAUGUAAGAAUUGUUUGUAUUCUUCCAACUCACACAUGGCAAUACGGAGGAAAGGAAAGAAAGAAAAAGAAAUGGUGGAAAAUAUCCAGGGGAUAAUGAUUGAUGAAAUACAAGUUAUUGUCGAUUUAUACUAGAACAAUCAUAGGAGAUACAGGCCUUCAUUAUUAUCAUGGAUUGGUCUCUGACAUGAGGAAAUAGUUGAACUCGUUCAAGAGCCAUCCAAUGAAGUUGUGUCAAUCACGUCAUGCACUGGCUUGGGUUACUUAUAAAUGAGGGAUUGACGACUAGCGAAUGGUCUGUUCGUACAUAUCUACUCAAGUUUGCUCUUGCAAAUGUACCCACAUCACCACAAUCAUGGAUUGAAGUAUCGGGUUCUUCUGUCGUUUUCGAUUAGUUCAAUUUAAAAUCCGUUCCAAUGCUUCAACAUUAAUAUCGAAUUUCCACGAACGACCACCAUUCCAACAGGUGCAGUGGUCCCUCCCGUCUUUUCUUUGCUCUGUUCCAUCAUCCACAACGAGAUUCAUAAAAGAAUAAAAUCUCUCGCUAUGAUCCAGGAGUUCUGUGGAACAGAAUUAUUCUUUUCCAAUAUUUAAAGGAAACAGAUAUCUAUAUGAUAGUUGUUUGAUAAAAUUUAAUACAAUGGACAUGGUAAUAACAAUUGUUUCAGUUGUAUGAAUUGUUGAAAAGAAGGUCAAAAGAAUCGUGCUUUUUCAAUUCAAUAAAUGUCCGAUGAUCAAUAAAAUGCACUUUGUGUGUGUUGUUUAGUGCGAUAUAGUUAUUACAAUCUGGGAAUUCCGAAGUAAUGUGAAUGGCUCUUUGGGUAGCACCAUAUGGGUGAAGAAUAGUAUAAAUUUAUUAGAAUAUUAUAUUGUGAAAUUUUGCUGUCAUUCAUUUAUUAUCUAUAUAUUUUCUGCAACUUAAAUUGCUCUUAACCGUUUUAAAUUUAGUUUUUAUGAAAAUUGAUUUCAUGCCUUUCCGCAUUUUUUUAUUACCAUUACCGAGCCAUAAUUAUAUUUUUCUAAUUCACAUUUUUAUUUUGGGCUUCUUGCUUAAUAAUUGCUUCUUGGCAAAUCUUUCAACAAUACUUCCCAGUUUUUCAUUAUUACUCUUCGUUACUUUUGAUGUAAUAAACCGUUGGUGGUGUUACUCCGUGAAUCCUCAUGUUCACGUUGGAACAUUCUUUUAUGUAAAA